CACUGAGCCCUCUGUUGGCUUAUUGGCUGAGCUCACUGAUGAGGAAACCUUGAGUUCGUCACUUUCUCUUCUCUAAUUGCUGAAGUGGCCGUCACUGAAGAUGACAGAGCGUUUCUGAAGGACACAUGGGAAUCAUUAACCAGCCCAAUAAAAUGAUCUAUUUAUUUUAAAUCCGAUAGCCUCUGUGGUAAAUUGGGAGUCUGUGUCUUUUUAUCGUCACCUUUGGAAAAAUUGUUCUAACCCCAAACCAUCAAAAACAGACAAGAUCCUCAGAGUGGUUCAGGGCCAUUCCACUUGGGAUGCUAAGGACAGGCAAGCAGUACAAACAUCACCCACCUUGGGAUGCCCUGACUCAGAUAUAGAGUUAUCAGAGCUUUUGGAACUUUUGGAUUUGGGGAGUCAUUCAUUAAAACACAUUUCUUUUCUUUUGAUUGCAGGUAGAGUUCCUUGGACAGCCCAGGGAAGGACCUCCACCUUCGUUGCUCCCUUCUCCUGUCCCCCCACCUACCAAAACACAGGAACCCCAUCUUCAGACAGAAGGCAUGCUGCCUCAUGAAGGCUCACAGUUCCAGCCCUUAGAACCAUCCAGAGGUUAGACUCAGCG
rnacentral:lncRNA from 1 species